UAGGGAAUUGUUCGCAAUGGGCGCAAGCCUGACGACGCAACGCCGCGUGGAGGAUGAAGACCUUCGGGUCGUAAACUCCUUUCGACCGAGAUGAACAGCUUCUGGCCUAAUACGUCGGGAGCCUGACAGUACCGAGGGAAGCAGCCCCGGCUAACUCCGUGCCAGCAGCCGCGGUAAUACGUAGGUGGCAAGCGUUGUCCGGAUUUAUUGGGUUUAAAGGGUGCGUAGGCGGCCCCAUAAGUCAGUGCUGAAAUACUCUAGCUCAACUAGAGGGGUGGCAUUGAUACUGCGGGGCUUGAGUGGAGUCGAGGUAGGCGGAAUUGACGGUGUAGCGGUGAAAUGCUUAGAUAUCGUCAAGAACACCGAUAGUGUAGACAGCUUACUAGGCUUCAACUGACGCUGAGGCACGAAAGUGUGGGGAUCAAA
rnacentral:rRNA from 1 species